GACGAACGCUGGCGGCGUGCUUAACACAUGCAAGUCGAACGGAAAGGCCCUGCUUUUGUGGGGUGCUCGAGUGGCGAACGGGUGAGUAACACGUGAGUAACCUGCCCUUGACUUUGGGAUAACUUCAGGAAACUGGGGCUCAUACCGGAUAGGAGCUCCUGCUGCAUGGUGGGGGUUGGAAAGUUUCGGCGGUUGGGGAUGGACUCGCGGCGUAUCAGCUUGUUGGUGGGGUAGUGGCUUACCAAGGCUUUGACGGGUAGCCGGCCUGAGAGGGUGACCGGCCACAUUGGGACUGAGAUACGGCCCAGACUCCUACGGGAGGCAGCGGUGGGGAAGAUUGCACAAUGGGCGGAAGCCUGAUGCAGCAACGCCGCGUGCGGGAUGACGGCCUUCGGGUUGUAAACCGCUUUCGCCUGUGACGAAGCGUGAGUGACGGUAAUGGGUAAAGAAGCACCGGCUAACUACGUG
rnacentral:rRNA from 1 species